rnacentral:rRNA from 1 species
UUGUGCUAAUACCGGAUGAGCCCUACGGGGGAAAGAUUUAUCGCCGAAGGAGCGGCCCGCGUCUGAUUAGCUAGUUGGUGGGGUAAAGGCCCACCAAGGCUACGAUCAGUAGCUGGUCUGAGAGGAUGAUCAGCCACACUGGGACUGAGACACGGCCCAGACUCCUACGGGAGGCAGCAGUGGGGAAUCUUGCGCAAUGGGCGAAAGCCUGACGCAGCCAUGCCGCGUGGAUGAUGAAGGUCUUAGGAUUGUAAAAUCCUUUCACCGGGGACGAUAAUGACGGUACCCGGAGAAGAAGCCCCGGCUAACUUCGUGCCAGCAGCCGCGGUAAUACGAAGGGGGCUAGCGUUGCUCGGAAUUACUGGGCGUAAAGGGCGCGUAGGCGGGUCGUCAAGUUGGGGGUGAAAGCCCGGGGCUCAACCUCGGAAUUGCCUUCAAAACUGACGACCUAGAGUUUGGGAGAGGUGUGUGGAACUCCGAGUGUAGAGGUGAAAUUCGUAGAUAUUCGGAAGAACACCAGUGGCGAAGGCGACA